GACGAACGCUGGCGGCGUGCCUAAUACAUGCAAGUAGAACGCUGAAGGAGGUGCUUGCUCUUCUGGAUGAGUUGCGAACGGGUGAGUAACGCGUAGGUAACCUGCCUGGUAGCGGGGGAUAACUAUUGGAAACGAUAGCUAAUACCGCAUAACAGUAGAUGUUGCAUGACAUUUACUUAAAAGGUGCAAUUGCAUCACUACCAGAUGGACCUGCGUUGUAUUAGCUAGUUGGUGGGGUAACGGCUCACCAAGGCGACGAUACAUAGCCGACCUGAGAGGGUGAUCGGCCACACUGGGACUGAGACACGGCCCAGACUCCUACGGGAGGCAGCAGUAGGGAAUCUUCGGCAAUGGACGGAAGUCUGACCGAGCAACGCCGCGUGAGUGAAGAAGGUUUUCGGAUCGUAAAGCUCUGUUGUAAGAGAAGAACGAGUGUGAGAGUGGAAAGUUCACACUGUGACGGUAUCUUACCAGAAAGGGACGGCUAACUACGUG
rnacentral:rRNA from 1 species